rnacentral:rRNA from 1 species
GACGAACGCUGGCGGCGUGCUUAACACAUGCAAGUCGAGCGGAAAGGCCCUUUCGGGGGUACUCGAGCGGCGAACGGGUGAGUAACACGUGAGUAGUCUGCCCUGGACUCUGGGAUAGCCACCGGAAACGGUGAUUAAUACCGGAUAUGACACCUUGCUGCAUGGUGGGGUGUGGAAAGUUUUUUCGGUCCAGGAUGUGCUCGCGGCCUAUCAGCUUGUUGGUGAGGUAAUGGCUCACCAAGGCUUUGACAGGUAGCCGGCCUGAGAGGGUGACCGGUCACACUGGGACUGAGACACGGCCCAGACUCCUACGGGAGGCAGCAGUGGGGAAUAUUGGACAAUGGGCGGAAGCCUGAUCCAGCAACGCCGCGUGAGGGAUGACGGCCUUCGGGUUGUAAACCUCUUUCAGUACCGACGAAGCGUGAGUGACGGUAGGUACAGAAGAAGGACCGGCCAACUACGUGCCAGCCGCCGCCGUAAGAC